AUUUCAAAAGGUAGAGGGAUUGGGGGUAGCAAACUGGUCCUAAUUGAGAACCACUACUAUAGCUAUACAAUGUUACCUUGGAGAUUCUACUCUCUAAAUGGGGAUGAUUCUAGAUCCUGUUCUUUAAUCCUCAUACAUUAGAGGUUAUAUAACAUGAUGUAAUAUGUAAGAGAAAAAGAAACAUCUUAUGCAUUACCAACUAGCCAAUAUCUAGUGCUGCUUAAUUAGGACUUUCUAUCUUUUCUGUUAAAAAUGACUGAGCCAACAUCCUAAUCUUUAUUUUUCCAACACUUUGACCUUAAGGUUCUCUCACAGAACCUCCCAAAGGCUAAUCAUUUUGUCUAUGCAUAUCUUCACUGGUUUUUAUUAUUAUUGAUUAGAAGAAGAAAAUGAUGUAUCUGUCUGGAAAUAGGUACAUAAACAACUCUAGAAGUUCAUGUUUCAGUCCAGAUUAGUAGGUUUUGAGUAAUAUGGACUCCAGUAAAGUAUCUUAGACAAAGCAGGAAAUUUCUUCAUCAAGUCACAGAAUUGUCUUCCAUUGUAUAUAAUCUGUUAAGAUAUAAAAUAAAACUCUUAUGUUAUACCAGAGAAAUUCCUGUACCUGACUGUGAAAAUGUUAACUACAAGUAGAGACUUGCAUUUUCCAUAUUAUUUCUUUUACUUCAAAAUCUAAUAGUAUAUUAUUAUUAAUUUUGCUUAUUCUAUUAGCUUAAUUGAGGAGGCUAGCAAAGAACUCGUAAAAAACACAUUUUUUAUCAAGAAUCUAGUCUCUUUUGUGUAUUUCAAUUUGUGAAUUUUCUCUUUGAAGUUUAUAUCUUGGAGAACUAGAUUUCAAAAUACAGUAUACUUGAAAUCAUUCAUCUCAUUUCCCUCUCCUUCAAUAAAACUUAAAGGCUCCGUAGUCUAAUUUCGAGAUAUUAUGUAACCUUGUUUCUUCAGCUGAAAUAGGUAGAAAUAUUUAGUACCUGAAAAGAAUGCUUCAACAGGUAACUUUGAAAGGAUAUUUUUGCAGUAAAAUACUAAAAAAAAGGCAAUAUUGACUUUUAUUUUAAAAUGUAAUAACCAAUGGUCAUGUUUGCACCAAAUAAUAAACAUACCAAAGAAGUGCAGGCUAUUUAAUCAAGAAGAAAAUAAUUAAGGCAUUACUCUAGACAUUUCAUAAAAAUGGAACUGAACAAUAUCAAACCUAUGAAGAGAAAGUAUUUUUAAAGUAUAGCUUCCCUGGCAAUUUUGAUUGGCAGAGAACACAAUGCCAGUUUGACAUUGAACUGAGGGGCUGGAGAGAUGCUUUAGUGGCUUAGAAUACUUAAUGUUCUUUCAAGGGACCCAGGUUUGAUUCUUAGAACACAUAUGAUGGUCCACAUCAACCUGUAAUUCCAGUUUCAAGGAAUCUGAUGCCUUUGGAGGCUGUGAGCCACCAUAUGGCAUCACAGAUAUGCAUAAAAAUAAAAUAAAUAGAAAAAUAUAGACCACUAAAGAAGCAUUCUUGGGGGAGGUGUUUGCCCACUGGAUGUUUGAAAGAACAUUUAAAUAUAGAGACCUAAGCUGCUUGUUACCCAGAAAUUUGAGAUUAAUAUCUGGCUGAGUGAAUCCAUUUCAGAAAAAAAUAAGUUCAAAAACUAUACCAAGGUCAAAUUUUUGGUUUUGCAUAUGUGGAUAAGGAAAUCUUCAAAAAUGUUAGAUGCAGAGUGGUUGGAAGAAUCUGCUAGAAAACAAAUGAGUGUUCCAUAGCAGAGAGGCUCACGAUGGGUAGACAGAAAACAUGUACCUGUGGCCUGUGAAAGCACACUAGCUAUGGGACGUCAUGUGCCAAAGGCUACACAAGUAAGUGAAUUCCAUUUAUCAGUGGAUAGUAGUAUGAAGCAACACACACACACACACACACACACACACACACACAUAUAUAUAUAUGUAUAUAUAUAUAUUCAGAAGAAUGUGGUUCUCAGAGCAUGAAUAUGAAUACAUGAACCCCCAUGAUAGAUAGAGCUAUCUGAAUAACCCACUUCUGACUUAUUUUGGCUAGUGGUUUAAAGAGUAUAACAUGAAAGUCUGAGAAUGUUGAACACCAUGGGAACUCAGAAUCAGGCAACUGCUGAAUGUCAACUUCCAAUGAAGAUGUGCAAUGUGUUCUCUAAGAAAGAUAUAGACUGGAAAGUGAUGCAGGGCUGAGCGCAGCCGUACGCCCUUUGCGGAUGAAGGUCACAAGGGACUUUUCUCAACAGUGGGUGCAUUAAACAGUCCUGAAUCUAGGGGAACUAAAUGUCAGAGUCUAGAGGAGUUGAGAGGUGCAGAGGACAGUGGUGUGACAGAGGUGAGCUCCAGACUACAGGACACUCCCCUUAGAAGGCUGAAGACUUGACCCCAAGCUCCAAGGAAAUCACCAUGAGUGACCUUUGCUUACUUCGAGGCCUUAUCCUGGUACCUGAUGUAGUUCAGUAGCCUCUGAAUUGAGUUUGCCUUUGUUUGAAGUCAUAUUUUCACAUUUCAUCCGAUGCUAUUUAUCUUCCACCAAAAAGUCACACCUAAACUUUCCAGAUGCCCAGUCGCAGACUUCCCAGGGUGAUCACACUCGUGUGCACAGUCUAUCAUUGUGCAAGCUCACACUCGAGAAUGGAUGUCAAAAGACGCUUUCAUGAACCUAAAAAACAAUGAAGUUAAGUUGAACUUGUUGCUUAAUUGAGCCAUAUUCCAGAACCAUUUUUUGUAAGUUAUCAUGCAAACAUUAUUGAUGGAAAUAAACAAUAUAAUAAUGUGUGAAUCCA